CUUCUGCUCUUCAAGGUCUUUUAAUUCAACAUCGAGGGCCCCAUCCAUUUCACUAGAUAGAACUUCCCAAAAUUAUUUACGCUGUAUCCCCUAAGGUAACUCAUCCAUUUUACCCAUUUUUAAGGACCCAAACCCCAUUUUAUAUGUAUACCACUACCUUUAAUUUUACAGAAACCCCCCCCAAGUCCUUGUCCGAUCUUAAUCCAAAAUAAAUCCCCAAAAUAAAGCUUUGUGGG
rnacentral:rRNA from 1 species